GCAAGAUAAAUCGAGAUUAAAAUUGAUCUACAUACGUAGAAAUAAACAUAAGUUGACUGGUAAACAAUUAUAUUUGCAAGUGAAAUGCAAAAGAAAUGAUAAACAAGUAAUAAGUAACUCACUUGAUUCAUUACUCCGUUGUCGCCCGAUGCCCUCGUCCUGCUCGUCCAGGCCUGCUCCCCUCCUCCCCUCCUCCUAUCCUCUGUGGCACUCACACAACGUUCACUCGCGGAAAUGAGGUUAAGCGCGACCGCGACACUCUGCGCCCAUUGAACACCGGAAGAGCGACGAUCACACGAUACUUUGAACACCAUGCCGACGCGUUAAUCGUACAGACGAGUCGCGACGAAGAUACGUCUCAACGAGAAAAUAAUACGUAACGUGAGAAUAAUGACUCCCGCACACACGGAACGCGACGCGAUGCUUGCCGCGCGACGCAAGUUGACACGGCAGCUAAUCAAUUUACUGCCUUUACAUAAGAGCGAAAGAAUGACUGCGGCUACCGCGUUUCCCUGCACGCGACGAGCGUUUCCGCGUUUCCUGUGUGCAGCAGAAUCGUAAAGCGAGAGGAAGACGUACACGGCCGUGCGCGCGUAUCGAGAGUUUUCCGGUGUACGCGACGCGACGAGAGAAUUCGAAACGCAGCUAAGUUCAUACCGACGCCACCCGCUACACGGUGGAGCUACACCCGCACUUUCGCGUGCACUAAUCGCGACCGCCGCGCUCUCGCUUAAUUCAGUUCGUAUUUUACUCGCGUUUCGGGACGAUUAUUCCUAGUAUUUCGUACUGUUGUGACACUUGCAACACGAACGGGAGACUGGAACACAGCCCGCGAUUUGGAGGAGACUAUCCGGAAAUACAAUAUCGAAGCAUAACAUCGGUCGAUCGUGUGCUCACACACAGAUUUUCGAAUAAAUACGUGUAGGGUCGCAACACAACGUACGCGUUCCCAACAACUCUGUUCGCGUGAACGUUUUCAAUCGCACAGUUCGUAGAUAUCAAGAUACGGCUCCAAUUACUUACUUAUUGUAUGCGUCGCGACGCCGAGUCGAACAGGAAUACAAGAGUCAUCGCGGAGAUACGAGAGUCAUCGCGGAGAUCAGCAAAUGUGAAUCGACCGUCUCGCACUGGAAAUUCCGCUGCCGAAUGAAGGUUAAGAUGGCUGGAUACGAUGUUAAUCGAUUUAUCGGACGUCGGGUGGGACAAUUUCACUUUGCGUGCCUCUCUCAAAUGCGGAAUCGACGCGAAGAGUUUCAAGCUGAAUAGAAGAGAAAAAGAGCGAUUUUGUGCUGCUCGUAAAUCGUCGACGGAUAAUCCUGACGGGACCGUGCUGGUUGCGCAGCAACCGUAGCUACGAUUCAAAAAAUCACAGAGCGUGCGAACGCAAGUGGCAAUUACUUCCUUGUAGCCGAGCGUCAUCGAUCCACGCAUCGAUUUCGUCAAACCUUUACUCACCUGACUUGCCGCGGAACGGGGAAACGAUGGCGAUCUAAUGAAAUCUCGACGAUCGAUAACGCGAGAGCAUCGUGUCCCGGACGCAAUAUCGCGGCCACGUUAACGCCGCCUGUGUAUCAACCGCCAAGAAUGAAGCGACUGCGACAACACGGGGCAACGGCGGGUAGCUUGCGACAGCACAAGCACAGCCAGCAGCGAUAGCGCUUUAUAAACUUCUUCCAUUCCGGAUGAAGCCCGGGGUCGGGGUAGAAGCGUACACCCGGUUUUCAUUGCAAAAUAAGCCGCUUCGAGCGACGACAGAUAGGUAGGUAUACUAUCCGCCUACCGAAGGAUUAGGGAAAUCGGGUUUACAGCAUGGCACGGAUCCCGCGGCGCGAGAGGGAGGACGACGACGUGAAAAUCUUUGCCGGAGCGUCUUAGCUCUAUUUACCUCUCUUUUCGAGAGAUCGCGAUGCAGAUAGGCUUGCAUGUUGGUAACUGCACCUUACUCGGCUGCAGGUUGAUGCGGCGGUCUCUCAAAGAGCGCCGAGUUGCGUCUGCCCCCCCCCCCUCUCUCUCUCCUCCACCCUCUCAAUAGUUUUGCACUCGUGCAAGAAGAUGCAGAACGCUCUGUCCCGACACGUCAUCACGUCUAUGAGUUUAUAGCUCUCGAGAGACAUUCCGAUGCGUCGUUUACGCACUACUUCCCAUUUGCUUUUCGUGACGAGGCAAUCUCAAAGUAGGCGCAGAAUUACGUACGUUUCGAAUAAAGAUGCUGAAAAAUUAUGUCGGAAUUUUAGCAGGAGCAAUAUAUAUAAUAUAUAUAUAAAAGUAACUAUGAGAAAAACGAAACAUUGCAAUUAUAUCGAAAUAUAUUUUUUCUCGAUCACAUUUAAUUUCAUAAAUUGUUUAUAAUUUCUUUGUGAUUCAUGUUUCGAGUAAAAAAUCGAUUGUUUUCCGUACACAAUUUCAUACAGCCAUAUUAUUUUUCAAAAACUUUCAAUGAUCUGUAUCAAAUAAUUAAUAAGUCACUUGUUAAGUCUCGUAUAAGUGGCCACUCUAUUGAAUCUCUGUCACGCGGUAUCCUUUGUCAGAGGCACUUACCGCUCUCGCAAAUGAUUGGUGAAACCGAGCGAAGUACGUUAAGUACUUUGCAAGACAAUAACCAGCUUUGAAUCCACUUACUACGUCGGUAAUUACGGCAUCGUGAAAAGUGCGAGGCCGCUGGAUUUGUGUGAAUAAUCAAUAAAAAAAAGGACGCGUAAAGAAGAGCUCGCGGGAAAAAGAAGAGAACGAAGAGAAGGAGAGUGUAGAGAAAGUAACGCUAGGGCAUGCGAGUGAAGAACAGCGGAGAGGUCGGAAUACCGAUAACAAAGCGUCCACAACGAGAGAGAGAGAGAGAGAGAGAGAAAGAGAGACGUGGCUUAUUACGCGAGAUGCCGUCUGUCUUUGCGCGACCGAGUAAAAUCGUUUAAUUCACAAAUAUAGAGGAUUUACGAUCGAUUGAAUUCGGCCCAGUUCCGCGCAUUGUCGCGUGGCAAACAAAGGCCGAUGGCGAGGACACGAGGGUGUUGUCAAAUCGACGCAAGGGUAGACUCCCGUGCAGAAGUUUGCUUUUAAUCGCGGACAAAUGCCGUGUGCUAUUUCUCUCCCCGGCCUGAAUAACAAGGCAGAAAUGAUCAAAGAAGAGUAAUUGCAAAUUAAAAUCUGGAUUAAUGCAUUCGCCUCCUGUUUUUACAGGAGCCCUGCCGGGGCAAUUCUAGUAAAUAUAUUACCAUUAAUUUUCAAUCACGAUUAUACCUUUUGAAAACAUUCGACAGCUUCGCUGUAAUUCAUCGACUCUGCAUUGUUAAUUGGAGUGCUUCCGCGGCAUGACAAGCAAGAAAUUGCAAAAUACGUGAUUAUGAUAAUUUGCCCGGUGAAGCAUUCAGCUAAUUGAAUAAAGCAAUCAUAUUAUUGGCAUAAUGCUGCGAUGUUAAGUAAUCAAUGCACUCAGUUGUUUACGAUUAUGAUGUAUCGUGUGUAUCGGCAAAUGUUGGAAGAAUAUCGAUUCGACCGCAUAGCGCAAAUUAAUCAUCCGUUGAAACGGGUCGCAACGCAUACGCGAACCCGGAGGAUAAUAUAGCGCGCGCCUCGAAUAGAUUUUAGUACCUCUAAUAAUCUCUGUAAGCAACAACGACGCGUUACCCCCAGCGCUGCACAUUGAAACAUCGACUCGCGUGCACCACGUGCAUCGCCUGAUACACUUUAUAAUACAUCUGAGAGCAUAUUCAGGUGUUCGAAGCGCGCGGCGGAGCACUGUUCCACAAAGUUCGAGAGUCUCGAUAGGUACCUGGUUACAGGUUAAUCGUCCGUUAAGAGACUUUGACCAACACGCAGUGCGAACUAUCCGCCCUACAAGAAGUUAGUGCUAGUAAUUACCAAUUAUACGCUACCGAAGACAGUAAUUGGAGGUAUGGCCAGAUUUCAGACACCUUUGCUGAGAAAGUUGCAGAGAGAGUGCCACGCUUAUUAAAGUCAUAGUGGUGUACAACUUCGCUCUUUCGCGUCUCAUAUUCGUCCGUUCUAUGAAAUAAAUCGUCUUCCAUUUCCAUGCAAUUUCUCGUAAAGAGUAUUCAUACUUACAGACUUAAAAAAAAAAAGAGAUCGAUAAAAUAUAAAAGAAUCUACUUACGCGCAGGCUUAUUCCUGUGUGCGAAAUACGAAAUAGCCGAAUGUCGCUUUUGCAUCCUAAAUCGAAUCUGCAUCGCGAUGUGGCAAUUUCAACCCAGAUCUUAAUCUUAAUUAACGCGAAUCUCCGCGCGAGACGCGAGGGAAAUGGAAACGAGGCGAAAAUGUUGUUCCCCCGCGUAACAGUGUAAUUUCGCACGCGGAUUAUAGAUCUAAGGGUGACACCUUUUCGUAAGGGUAGAAUUGGAAGCCCAGUCAGCUAAAUUCGGUUUCCAACUCCACGGGAGUCCGGGAGCUAGCGCCAGGAGGAGGCAGGCCACGCACCGAGGCGGACCGAAGUCCUACGUUGCAUCGAACUGGCUGUUUGUACACGCGCUGCGUAUGUAGCCGGCUGCCGAGAGGGAAAUGUUUCUGGAGUGCACGUCCCCUGCAGCCGUGCCACGGUGCACGCACAGGGCUUUGUUUAAGCCGGUAUUAUUGCUGCGGAAAUUGGGGUCUGACGCGAGAGGCUGUUGAUUCUCCGCGUACGAGGGAUGUUGGUUGAAAGGCGAGAAUCGACGGUGCCGCUUGUACCAGCGCGGCGACAGAGUUUGCUUUGGCGCUUUAUCGUCCUGCUUACGAUGCGUUCCUUCCGCAUUACGAUCAGAGCGGGUGUAAUGUAUUAAGGGCGCUUACGCGACGUCGCCGUAACGAAUGGAUUGCGGCGCGUCAAAUGGAUGUAUUUCUUCGCGUGUACGUCAAGUACGUCGUUUCCUCGCCGAUCAAUUAAUCGUGUCGACGGAAAGACGCGCGCGCGCGUGAACGGCAUUGUAAUUUAUUUACUUGAACGACAAUUUAAACGGGGAUUCUCCAGUUGCGCUAUUACUAUAAACGAAUUCAUCAUCUCGAGCAACAAAAUUUACAAAACCGAAUUAACGCCGUCAGUCAUUCGACUUAUGACCGCGAAAACAUAAGUACAAAGGACUGAUCGUAUUGCAAACCGUACAAGCGUGUUUUAAUCGUGAAAAACAUUUCGUCACGUUGCUAAAUGAAGCAUUUUCCAAAUGCGCGAGAAAAAGGUGACGAAAGACGAGGAUGAGACACAAGGGAAAAGAGAAUAGAUGCAAAUAAGAGAUUGUUCUUGCGGCUUUGCUCAGUCUCUCUCUCUCUCUCUCUUUCUCUCUCUCUCUCUCUCUUUCUAAAGAGAGGAAAGAGAGGAAAGAUAGAGAAUAAGACCGAGAAGGACCAAAGAUAGAGAAACCGCGGCGUGAUUAAGUGCGUGUCAAAGCCCUACUUUACCCUACUGCGCGGCAGCUUCUUGUACUAACUAUAGUCUAUCCUGCACGACACUCAUCCUCUUUAUGUGACCACCGUGUAAAAGAUAUAUGCUGCUCUCUCUCUCUCUCUCUCUCUCUCUCUCUCUCUCUCUCUCUCUCUCUGUCUGUCACGCUGUUUAUUGAGCUCUAUCUGCGCACGUAGCGUAGUGAAGAGUAACCAGAGCAAUCAUUCAUCAGAUUCGCAAAUCGUAAUCGUAGACGUCUCGGCUUGCCAUUUGCAUUACAUUAGUUUUGCAACGAGAAAUUACAUGAGCUUACGUGUCCUCUGCACUGCUUUGCAAACUAUCGAAAAUAAAAAGGUAAAUCCAGAGCUUUAUUCCUUUCUAAGUUAAUCUUAUUGUAUAUUCAAUUUGUCAAUGAAUGUUCUUCUUUCGCAAGAAAAUCACUUAAAAUGAAGAUUAAAAUGCAACAGAGCAGAUUUGAACAAGUAAUCUGAUUUAGAAUUUGCUUCAGCUUGGCGUCGUGUAAUUUCAACUCUGAUUUCGGUUGGAAUUUCAACCGUGAUCUAUCUGAAACGCCGCUCGUCUCUGAGGCAAGCGUACGAUAUACACGCGGUAUUCUAUUCACUAGAGUGCGACAAAAGGGGUACAUCUCUAUAGGCCCAGAAGUAGGAAUUCUCGUAUACUCGAUUCAUCCGAUUCCGUGCAAGAGGAGCGCUGAAUCUAGAGAUUUCAUGUCUUUGUGCGAUAUAACGCGCGCGAAUUCAUUGGAGACUCCGCGACAAUCGUACUCGCGUGCAUCAGUUUUUAUAAACAUCACUAUUAGUAUAAGAAUUAUUUUUUCGAUCGUUAAGAGGGUUUCUUGCCUUGUGAAUUUUCUUCUGCCUAAAAUUUAUCCUCAGCUCCGUAUUGGCCUUUUAAUUGGUACAAUAAAGCAGACAUUUUGUUUAACUGCGAGUUCUUGCAACGCGUACCGAAACUGUCGUGCGUCGCGAUGAUCGAAACGAAAGUUAAUUUUAAAUUCUAACACAUAGCCACGUAUCUCCGACAUUUGCCCAAUCUUAUAAUCCACGCACAUGCACUUGCGGCUACAAAGCAGGCAUUAGUGCCACCUCCGGUAUCGGUGCCCCGGCGCGGCGUGGAGAACAUAAACGUACAGACGCGGUCGUUAAAGCGGCAGCUACGACGAUGCCGUUGUCGUCUCCGGUAUCCAAGACGACGUCGAGAUCGCACCGCGGUGAUACCGCUACGUUAUCCGCGGACGAAUCGAAACGCAGUUGCCAAGUUGAAAUGCCAGUUUCGAAUGCGCGUUACUCUACCUCUCUCUCUCUCUCUCUCUCUCUCUCUCUCUCUCUCUCUCUGUGUGUCCCUCUCUCUUUCUCUCUUGUCCCGGCAAUUUCGAGCCCGAAAUCACGGCCGAAAUUCGCUUCGACCCAGCCCCUCCGUCGGCCGAUAUCGACUCGGGGGAACCCGUGUCGUUGCGGUUCCGAGUCGAGCAUGGCGUACGGUUGUGUAUCGGCGGAGGCGACGCGUUGGCCGCAACCAGCUCGCGGACUAUUAUUUGAACGGUUAUUGGUAUGAUAGCGCGUAUCUGCGCGUCGUGCAUCACGGCGCCAACUCUACGGUUGUCAUCCUGAUUUCGGGGCUUUCUCUCGCCCCCCCUCGUCUCGUCCCUCAUCCCCCCCUUGGCGGCAUCUCCACCACUGUACCGCCUGUCCUACCGUGCUACUACUGCGUUCCCCCCCCCCCUCGCGCACUUGUAUCUACAACCUACGCCGCAACCCGGGCUGCCCUGUCACCCCUCCACGCGGUCUCUGCCUGCUCCUCUGGGACGACUCGCCGCAUAAAUGUAUGUUUCCAGGAUUUCUGGUUGUCUGCCGAAUGAAUUAUGGAGGCUCGACGACCGACGCCCGCCACCGCCACCGCCGCCGCCGCCGCCGCCGCCGCCAUCGCCGCCAUUGGCGUUACCCUCCACCCUUGCCGGUCGAGAUUGCGAGAGUGGAAAUCAUUCUAGAGAAAAGAGGCGCGUUUUCCUCGUUGUACAGCUGUACGAUAUUUACGCUGAUAGGAAGCACGGAUCCUUACAAUUAUAGUGAUAGAUGAUACGUAAAGGUGAAUGAUUAACAGUCAACGCUGAAUUUUGUCACUGAUAAACUCUAUGCGGAAUUUACGACGUUUAUACGCGUACCUAUCAAAACUUUUGAUUAAUGAUAAAGUGUAUCCUCUUUUAAUCUUCCCGGGACUUCGAGAAAAAAGAUAGAAAGGAGAAAUUAUCGCGUGGUAGAUUAGUCGCGAAAAUAAAACUGCAGACAUCUGAUUAACGAGAUUGUAUUCUAUUGUAACUUCUCUCUGUUCCAAUCCCCCUCCCCCCGUUCUUCUAAUCUUAAAAACGUCGUUCCGCUAUCCAACGUCUUACUGAGACAAACAACGUCGAUCUGUAGACUGCAUACGCAGCGGAACUAUGUAUUUGCUAAUUACUGCGUUCUGAGCGCAGUUAAAGUAUAUAAUUGGUAGCAACAGCAAUAUGCAAUUAAUAGCAAACACUAUGUAAUUACCACGGUUGUAAUCACAUUGCCAGUGUAAUCUGAUGCUACUAUUCACUCGAACGAUACCCGUCGUCCAUCACAGGUUUGAUAUAUCGUUACGCUAUAACCCGUAUACCGACGAUGUGCCAUUCUUACAGCGACGGGCCAAGCGCCCGUAAUUACCGUCCACACUUUCGUCCCGGGCCGUCAUCGCGAUAACAUCAGCGGGCGAUAUUCCCUCGAAAGUGCGCCACUGUUUUCUCAACGCCCUUAUCAACUUUUUCAUCUUUCCUCCGUUAUUCCGUUUCUCACCGCGCUCUAAGCGCGCCGACGAGGAGGAAAACUUCUGCCCGCGCGCGCCGAACUUCCCCAUUGUAUCGCCGAAGGGAAAAUGCGAUGACGGCGCAUUUGAAUCUCAGCCACGACAAUAAUCGCGAUUACGGUAAUCGCGGCAACGUGACGGAAUGUAUUCUCACGCCGCCGUGCGCAAACCGCGCGCGCCAGCAUGUUCCGGCUCUGACAGUAACUUUUAAUUUCUAUCGCGUGCACUCGCGCGCGUUAAAAUAUAGAGGGUCGCUACGAUCUUGCUGGAGGCUCGUGGAAAUCGCCUUGCACGACCGGCCAGGCCGUUCGAGAAAAUUAUUCUCAAAUAGCGCCUUCCGCGGACAAUUUUGCCUAUGGUAAUGCCUGGCAUAAACCUAACAUCCGGUUUUAUUGGCUCUAUCGCCUUUGGAAUGCGAAAACGCGUCACACGCGUAUGCAAAUGAUUUUGUGAUGCAAGGCAGAUGGUUGAAUUUGAGAAAGAACGAGUCGCGCUUUUGGCGCUAUAAAAUAUAAAGUUGAGAUACUUCCGGUUUAUCGCCACUUUAUCGCAUGACUUUGAAACACAUUCGGGUAAACGCAGUUUCGGCGAGUCGUAAGAAAGUCGUGACCGAGUUCCCUAAAACAUCCCUUAGAAUCUUUGAACCGCUUCUUCGUGAUUUAUCUGAUUACGAGAUCGUCUCGACGAGAACGCUCAGUUUUUUGACCCAAUUAAAAAAAAAAUCGAAAUUGCGUGACGCCUUCUGCGGGAAAAUUCCAAGCGGCAAACGAAGACAAAAGGAGGAGAUGUAUAAACGAGAGAACGGUACGCACUCAGAAACUCGGGUGUUGCUUUCUGUCAUAACAAUUUGCUAAAACGGGGUCGAUAGGAAAGGACGAGAAGUUAUAGCGAUGCUACUGUUUGAAAUGAUCUCGACACAAGGGUACGAGUACCUCCUCGAGCGGGGCCUCGUAUCCUUGUUUUCGUAGCAUUCCCAGUCGCCGGAUGUAGAGGGUGGGUUGAUUAAUCGCGCCGAAAGCUCCGCGUGGACAGUUAUGCACGAAUGUUCGAUUGCAUUUAUUGCACCCCCAAUCCCACCGUCGAACGGCGGUAAAGUUACGCCUGAGUGCCGGAGAAUAUUAUUACGGUUCAUUAUCACGGGGCGGGAGGGGGAUUAAACAGUUCAAAAUAUACAACGCUACGGAAAGUUGAUUGCGCCCCCGCGAAAGCGAGAUUGCCGCGCAGCGGAAAAGCAGGCUGCAUGAAAACGCUCUCUUUAACCUGCCGAUAUAUAUCACUUAAUAAUGUGAAACGCUCGUCGAGCGCGCUGACGAGCGGCGAAAUUGCAGAAAAGCUGAGUAUUCGUGAAUCCUUUGAGGGUGAUAAGAAGCGCUUCUUAAGCCGUGAAUAAAUAAGCAGUCUUCCGUGGAUUAAGCGGAGUACUCAUUCCCAAUCGUGCUCUAGACCGCUCCUGCGAAUAACAAAUGCGCAGUAAACAUGGCAAAUUAUUGGUAAAUCUUCAGACUGGUAAAACACUAGAGAGAAGUAGCGAUUUUAUUUUAAAUUUCGCCAGAACAUUAAAACGAUCGUUAAGAGAUUCAUUUGGAGAGAUGAGUGAAUUUCAGCAAAGCUAGACAGUGGUGAAUAUUCAAUCGCGCGAAGACGAAAUCGUUUCUUGCUCGAUCAUAAAAGUUCGAUGACAUUCGAUUCUUCGUAAGCACUUCUUCUCUUAAUUAGAAUUUCGUUUAUGCGCGUAAAUGAUUUUUCGCGGCUGAUUGCGGCUCUUAUACUCUUAAGGUAGCACAAAGCAAUGGUAAAUGUGCAUUUGCGAGCGAUCCCACGUUCACCUAGAUCGACAUAACGAAGACUUUGCAAUGUAAAUUCAUCCCACAUGCGGUUUCGUUUAACGAACUCCUCUUUGUCCAUGCUUUUAGCGCCGCACAUGCGUGCUGCCCCGAACAUUUACGUCGUAAUUACGUCGCGGCAAAGUGAUAGAGCGUCGCCCCACGGUGUCCACAAACGGGUAAAGACGACAAAAUAAUAAUCGCAAGAGUUUAAACGAUACCGCGAUGUGGACAUUUUCAUGGAAUUCUCUCGCGCCACUACCGUCGUUCUUCCUAUUCGCAAAAUUCGCAGAGAUGCCGUUGCGGUUGCAAACGUUG
rnacentral:lncRNA from 1 species